rnacentral:tRNA from 1 species
GGAAGUGUGCCUGAAGACACAAGGACUACUUUGAUAAGGUAGCUAUGGAACCAAUAAUAUUCCCACUUCCC